AUUUACCUAUGCAGGCAAGAAGUAUUUUAAUUGCAUUAGCCUUAAGUCUGUAAGAGACUGGUGUUCUCUAGAUGAAGAAUAUUUAGGAAGAUGGAAAUACUGUACAAAGAAUGACUAUGCCCCUUGCUUCUUUCCCUUUGUCUAUAAAGGGAGACUGUACUACACUUGCACAACCGAUGGGAGUGUUUUGAUGCAGGCGUGGUGCUCAGUCACUGCCAACUUUGACAAGGAUAGAGCUUGGAAGAAUUGCGUCUGAUACAGGCUGUGGAUUCAGACAAGGCUGUGAAACCGAAGUGUGGAAGAUCAAGACACCUCAAGCUUGAAGACCACAUCCCAAGGGAUGACAUCCUUUCCCUGCAGCUCCAAGUGCCCCCUGCCCAUCAACAAACCACUGUCUCUGCAGGUGUGACGUUGUUAUC